rnacentral:misc_RNA from 1 species
UGAGAAAGUUGAACAAUAAGACGUAGUUGCACAUCAUCUCUCUGACCAUCGAAAGGAAAAGCAAAAUGUCCCUUUCUUUAGCAGAAAGACCAAAAUGCACCUAGGCGAUGCCCACCCAUGUGUUUUUACAAUGUUCAACUACGUCUUAUUGUUCAACUUUCUCAAAUGCUACGAAUGCAAAGCUCCCUCAGUCCCGAAACUCAUCCAUGAAACUUUUGUGGAAC